UAAUUUUGGAACACAACGUGAUCACAUUUUCACAUGUGUAGUUUAAUGUAAUCACAUGUUGCUUUACAUGUUAUCACAUUAUCCUCACAUAAGAUUACAUUAAAACAUGUUUUUGGAACACUUCCCGUGUUCACAUGUGAAAUUCAUGUGGUUUUUGCCUAAACGCCCUGCAGUUCCACACUCAAGGAUCUUAAUAAUGCUUUAAAAUACACAUGUAUGAUUGUGCAUGUGUAAUGGGUUGAAAACAAAGUCACUAAAAACAGACACACAUUUAUUAUUUAUCCCCCCAUUUGUUUAAGUAUUUGUCUUAAUGAAUCUAAAAUGUAUUUUCUACAUACUUUAGCGUUAGCAGUCCAUCAGGCCAAUAGAUGGCGCUUUUGCACUGUUGUAGCAGGAGAAACAGCAAGUUCUGGCCAAGAGCUCACCAUUCUGCAGAAUAAGGACCAGAACUUUACAGAGGUAAACUGUCUCUGUUCUUUUACUAUUACAGUUCAUCGUGGCCCUGUAGUUCACCUCCUUCACCAAAGCUCUGUCAGGGACCUACAUGAAGAGUGCCAUCACUCAGAGAGACACUUUGACCUGUCCAGCUCUCUCAUCGGACUCAUAGACGGCAGCUUUGAGAUGGGUUUCAACAAUAACAUUGAGUUGCUUGAGAAUUCAUGUAGUAAAAACCAGAUACAGACUACAGUAUGAUCCAUUUUUUUUGUGGUUCAAUCAGAGUCUGCUCUCAAUACUGUCCAGUUUUAUAGUUGUUCCUAUUAAUUGAUUGACUGGAGUUUGUCCAUGACUCUACUGUCAAACCCCUAACAUUGUUGUAUUUGAUGCUAUGUUGUUGCAGCCUAGUAUCCAAACUGAUAUGUCAUUUUUAGUUUAAAAAAAAAACAGUGUUUAUAAUUUGCUAUUCCUGACUACUGCAGUGUUGUGGU